rnacentral:piRNA from 2 species
UGAGAAAGUGGGAAAAUGAGAUUUCCACA